UACGUAGGUGGCAAGCGUUGUCCGGAUUUACUGGGCGUAAAGAGCGCGCAGGCGGUCGAUUUAGUCGCGUGUGAAAGCCCCCGGCUCAACUGGGGAGGGUCACGCGAUACUGAUCGACUCGAAGGCAGGAGAGGGUAGUGGAAUUCCCGGUGUAGUGGUGAAAUGCGCAGAUAUCAGGAGGAACACCGGUGGCGAAGGCGGAUCUCUGGGCCUUACCUGACGCUCAGGCGCGAAAGCUAGGGGAGCGAACUGG
rnacentral:rRNA from 1 species